ACUUUUGCAAUUACUGCCACUGGAUUCAAUGGGUUAACUCAGGACAGGGAACAACUGUCAAUUGCAGCAUCUGGUGCCACUUUUGACUUUUAUAUAUAUUUUGUUUUUCUCAAAAAUGUGAAAACAUAAGAUGGUUUGAAGGACAGCAACUUUCAACUGUAAUUUUCAGAUCCAUUCCAGACUUCCUGCCUUAUUUUUCUUCAUGCAAGAUCAAGCUAUGAAACAAAUAGAGGGAUUUAACAUUCUGGAAAAUGCCUGGAGAACAGAAGGCCUGAAACUGAAAUCUAUGCAUACAUGUCUGCC